rnacentral:misc_RNA from 1 species
AGCUGUGAUUCGUGGAAAGAAGGUAUUUAAUUGUUUAGAUAAUUGGGUUUCUGAUAUUAUUCUUUUUGUUAACUGUUGAUCUAUAUUUAGUAUGAAUCAUGUGGCAGUUACCUAAAGUUUUAGGCUUUUAUAGUAUUAUUCAACUACUGCAUAACAUGGUAUCUCAUUUACUUUAUGAAGAUGCUUAAGAUUGCAUAAUGCUGUUGUCAAAUUCAGAAUAAUAAAGGCAUUACAGUUGUCUGCAGAUAAAAGUCCAUUUUCUCCCUGAUUAUUUAAGAUUUAUCAAAAUGACGAUGAUUUGUGUUAAUAUGCAUCUUUAUUAUGAUUAAUGGGCCACCUUAACAUCUUUUGACUUUCAAAUAUCUAAAGUAAAGAAUUCCUGUAACGUCUGUUAUUGAUGCUGUCGAGAACUUUACUGUAAUAGCACUUUGGUAUAGAUCUUAAAAUCCCACUCGUUCUUUAGCAAAUAAUGGUAAGGAUUUAAGAAUUUCAUACUUUGGACCACCUUUAAGAGUCCUUAAUGACCUUUUUUUUUCUUAUUUGCACUGUAGUCCUCAAUUAUUUUGGUCAUGGACUAUUGUUUCCUUUUAUUAGGCCUACGCAGGAGAGAUAAAACACAUAUAUGACAGGUUGGUUUUGCUUUUAUAAAGUUUAGUUGACAAACUGUCCCAAGUUAUUUGGUAUCCCUAAUGUAAUGUAUCGUGGGAUGCGUCAUUUUCAUCUGUUUUGGUGGCAAGACCUAAUAACGUAUUAUUCCUCUUCAUUUGGCGGGGAUCAACUUUGCUUGCUAUUUCGGUGCAAUGUGGGUAGGAAGAUGAAUGCAAUUUUAAUUAUUCAUAAUUUCAUGUUGUGGUAUGAAUUUUCUUUUUUAGUAACUGCCACUAAAAUAUUCAAAUUUAUUGCACUGUUGGUGGUGAAUUGUUUGGUAAAGACUUGAUAAGACAUUGAACCUUUCAAGCUCCAUCUAAUUAGGUGGAAUUGAGUGAAGAUUUUAUUAUACUUUCUUUUAUAUAUUUAACAUGCAUUUUGCAGGGUUCUGGUGGCAUCACUGUGAAGAAAACCGGCCAAGCUCUCAUUAUUGGUAUUUACGAUGAACCAUUGACUCCAGGACAGUGCAACAUGAUCGUAGAGAGGCUGGGUGAUUACCUCCUUGAUCAAGGCCUGUAGGCUUUCAAUACCUCGUCUUAGCUUCAUGGUUGUCAAAUGCUGAUUUCAGGAUUGGGCUUGCAGCUGGCUAUGAACUGGCAUUAGUGAUUUUGCUGGGAAAUAACAUUGUGAGGACAGAAACAAUGAUAUUUUUUUUUGGUCACCUUUUGUUGUUGAUUGUAGGAUCAUUGCCUUUUUAUCUUUUCAACUCCCGCCAUGCUUUCUUAAUUUAUGUGUAUUCAUGCUGCCCUCUUUUAUGCUUGAAUUAAGUUUGGAUAUCUAAAGGUUGAAUAUUUUGGAUUUAUUUUAUACUUCAUAAUAGUAUCUUUUUGAGUUUCUACGCUCGAUAUCUUUGAUACUCUUACAUUUAUGGUUUUAAUGGAAAGCAUUUUCA